UACGGAGGGUGCGAGCGUUGUCCGGAUUUAUUGGGUUUAAAGGGUGCGUAGGCGGCCCGGCAAGUUUGGGGUGAAAGCCCGUCGCUCAACGACGGAACGGCCCCGAAAACUGCCGGGCUUGAGUCCAGGCGAGGUCGGCGGAACGGGCGGUGUAGCGGUGAAAUGCAUAGAUACCGCCCAGAACCCCGAUUGCGAAGGCAGCUGACUAGGCUGGCACUGACGCUGAGGCACGAAAGCGUGGGGAGCGAACAGG
rnacentral:rRNA from 1 species